rnacentral:rRNA from 1 species
AGUGAACGCUGGCGGUAGGCCUAACACAUGCAAGUCGAACGGCAGCACAGGAGAGCUUGCUCUCUGGGUGGCGAGUGGCGGACGGGUGAGGAAUACAUCGGAAUCUACUCUGUCGUGGGGGAUAACGUAGGGAAACUUACGCUAAUACCGCAUACGACCUACGGGUGAAAGCAGGGGACCUUCGGGCCUUGCGCGAUUGAAUGAGCCGAUGUCGGAUUAGCUAGUUGGCGGGGUAAAGGCCCACCAAGGCGACGAUCCGUAGCUGGUCUGAGGGGAUGAUCAGCCACACUGGAACUGAGACACGGUCCAGACUCCUACGGGAGGCAGCAGUGGGGAAUAUUGGACAAUGGGCGCAAGCCUGAUCCGGCCAUACCGCGUGGGUGAAGAAGGCCUUCGGGUUGUAAAGCCCUUUUGUUGGGAAAGAAAUCCAGCUGGCUAAUACCCGGUUGGGAUGACGGUACCCAAAGAAUAAGCACCGGCUAACUUCGUGCCAGCAGCCGCCGCGG